rnacentral:lncRNA from 1 species
CUUGACAUACUUCAUGUCUUUCUCUUUAAUGUGUCCCGCAAUUGACAACACUCCUGCAACAGUCCUUAAAUCCAAAACACGGAAUACAAACACAUUUCCAAUCUCCAGAUUACUCCCAACCCAACUGUUCUUACACGAUCUUGGUUUAGCCAAUGAUGCAUUAAAUCUUUCAUGAACCAAACAACCAACAUGGCUGCUACUUG